UGAGGAAUAUUGGUCAAUGGGGGCAACCCUGAACCAGCCAAGUCGCGUGAAGGAUGAAGGUCUUAUGGAUUGUAAACUUCUUUUACACGGGAAUAAAGUGGGGGACGUGUCCCCCUUUGCAUGUACCGUGUGAAUAAGGAUCGGCUAACUCCGUGCCAGCAGCCGCGGUAAUACGGAGGAUCCGAGCGUUAUCCGGAUUUAUUGGGUUUAAAGGGUGCGCAGGCGGGAUGUUAAGUCGGCGGUGAAAUUUUGCAGCUCAACUGUAAAAGUGCCUUCGAUACUGGCCUCCUUGAGUGUGGAUGAAGUAGGCGGAAUUUGUGGUGUAGCGGUGAAAUGCUUAGAUAUCACGAGGAACUCCGAUUGCGAAGGCAGCUUACUAAGCUACAACUGACACUGAAGCACGAAAGCGUGGGGAUCAAACA
rnacentral:rRNA from 1 species